rnacentral:lncRNA from 1 species
UGUUUUUGAACAUAUGAAAUAGACUCAGGCUAUUACAAUAUUCUUCUCUACUAAUCCAAAAAUCAUUGUCAGUUGUAAUUGGUUUCAAUGGAUUGAUUUUUCUCCUCUUUAUGGUUUGUAUUUUUUAACACAUCUGGUAAUUUUUUACUACACACUGGAUGUGAAUUUUUGUUUGUUGGGUGCUAAAUAUUUUUAUAUUCCUAAAAAUAUUCCUGAGCUUUGUUCUAGCGUGCUGUUAAGGUACAUACAAAGUUUAAAUCUUUUGGAUCUUGCUUUUGUCCAGUUGGAUCUGAGCAUUAUUGACUCUCUAGCUAAUUAGCCCCCACUGCUGAGGUGUUGGUCAGCUUUUCAUAAUUAUGACAAAGUAAUUGAGAUAAACAACUUAUAGGAGGUAAGGUUUAUUUUGAUUCAUGAUUUUCGAGGCAAUGGUUUGCCAGCCUUGUUGUUUUGGGUCUAUGAGGGCACCAUACAUCAUGGCAGGAUUGUGUGGUGGAUGAGGUAUAUUCAUCUCAUGAUGACUGGGAAGUAAAGGGCAGCAGAAGGGGCCAGGGUCCCUUAUUCCUUUUUAGUGCUAAUCCCCAAUGAACGCUAACGUUUUUCUGCUAGGUUCUACCUCCUGAAAGUUUCACCACCUUCCAGUAACACCACAUACUAGGAACUAAGCCAGCACAUGGGCCUUUGAAAGACACUUAUCCAAAAUGUAACAUGCAUGAGGCAAGGCUUUUCUCUGUAUCACAUCCAGUGCCCUAGAAAUUGUGACAUUUUCCAAUAUGGGUAUGGAAACAAGCAUUGCAGCAUGUUUCUAGAAGGAUACUAUUAUCAGUAGUUGCCUAUGUGGUGGGUUAUUGGGGAACAAGAAUGAAAGGCAUAUGGAACACAUUUGGGCUACUUCAAAUUAUCUCACUGGUACCACUGGUAUUACUGGUGUCUUGUGGGUUACAGGUUUUUUUUUUUUUUUUUUCAUUAGAAAUUAAUACCCAGAGUUUCUGGCUUCUUCUUCUGGGAAACAAUUUUCCAUGAGUUUCUUGCACUUCUUCAUACCUUGUAAGCAGAGGCAUUGGCUGAUUUUAUUCAAUAUUAGCUUUUUAGAGUUGUUUUGUAUGGUAUAGCGUUGGAAGAGAGAGAGAUCUUUCAGGAGCACAGCGCAGGUUUGUUUAUUGUCCAGUAUAAUAAUGUCUUUCACUAGGGAAAGUCAGACAUGAGGACUGCUUGUUCAUUAUAAGAUUAAGCUUUCUGGAGCUCAUUAUGAAUGAUUAAGAUUUCCAAAGUGUGGGGUUCCUCUCCUGUAAUACAACCAAAAUGCAUGUGCAAGCAUCACCUGGUACUCUUGAGGUGUUCUGUGAGAUUAAGGACUGAGGAACUAGUAUAGGAUUAAUAAUACUCUGGCUACUGCUAUUACUGUGUAUAGUAAACGGUCCUUUUGUCUUUGACAUAGGAGUCUUCUGUCUUCAUUCAGGAAACUGUGGCAAGCUAAUAUCCUAGCUUGAAAGCAGAGUAAAAUCUUAAACCCUUUAUAGUUGAUACCUUCAGUCUCAGAUGAAAUGCCACACGAAAGAACAUGACAUCUAGUCUCAGCAGCAACCUCUGGGUCAGAUAGUACAAUUUUGAAGCCUGGGGGAAUUAUCUCCUCUUGAGCAAGCUGUAACUUGUAGAUAAAUUUUCUUUCACCCUAUUUCCAGCCUCUCGAGAGAUGUCCCCAUAUAUAUCAGUGGCUAUGUCUCUUUGCAAAGCUGUCUUUUAACAAAUGAUUUUGUAUUUUCUCUGUUCUUCUUCUUUCUCUAUUUCUUUGUAAUCUAUUAAUCAUUAUUUUUCUUACAUCUAUCAGAACUGACAUUGCAGGGUAAUUAAGUCAACUUAAUUCUAAAGAGGGACAAACCUCUCAAAGGAGAAUGGGACACAAGAUAUUUCAUGUUUGGCAGAGCAUAAAGAGGUAUACUGCCUUAUAAGCUGUAAAGAAGAAUCUGCAAAAAUUUUACAUUCCUGUGGAUUGGGGGUUAGCAACUCAGUUUACAGUAACUGGAAGUCCCAAUCAGAAGGGAUGUUUAUACUCACUCAUAAGCAUUUUUCUGGGUCCUCAAGGGAGAAACUUGGGGGCACAGCAGUCUUUGGAGAACCCCCUGGCAGGCAUGAAUGUAUAGAAUAGCUUCUACUGAGGUAGGCGUAGGCACAAAACCAUACCUGAUUCCUUGGACCAUUCUCUGCUAUAAGCAAAAGCUUUAAGCCACUGAUGGAGGAUCAACAAACAUUUUCCCAGGACACAGAUAUUACUUUUGGAGUGGAAGCAAAACUCCUUUGCCUUGGAGUGAGGGGUGGAAACUGUCCCAUUUCUAGGACAAAGGCAAAGGAUACUUUAUUUCUGUGAAAAAGCAGAAGCAAAUACCUUCAUUUUAGGGAGAAUGGUAGAAAAUCAUUUGAUAGGACUGUUGGUGGAGCAGGAAAUUCCUGCCGAAGUCCAACCACUGAUAGGUCAGGAAAAAGGAUAGGACUGCUAAGAAAAAUCCACUUCUGAGACUAAGACACACAGAGCCUUCCUGAGUCUGGGCUAGAACAAUAAAGAUCAUGGUACAAUAACAAAUAGUCUUAACAAAUAGUCUAAACUUCAUAUUAAAAAGUCCUAGAAGAGAGAAUGGGAAAGAAUAUCUGAAGAGUUAAAUGGACAAAAAACUUUUGAGAAAUAAUGACAAAACACCAAACCACAGAUCCAACAAGCUCAAGGAACCCCAAACAGAAUAUCAGAAACAAAACCACAUACACCUAGGCACUUAAGACAACAAAAGCUGAGCUAAUUCAUUGCUAAAAGACCUGUGACAUAAAGGAGGUUUUUCAGGUAGCAGUAUGAUGCCAGAUAGAAACUUGGAUGCAUAUAAGGAAAUGACUGUUUUGUAGCAAAUUAUGCUAAAACUUGAUAGUGUAGGAAUUCACUAUCAGCUGAAUGGCUCAGGGAUGCCCCUGUAGUUGAAGUCAAGAUGUAGGUGUGGCUGUAGUCGUAUGAAAACUCAACAAGGUCCUAGUAUCCAUCUCCAGUCUCAUUCAGUUCACGUGACUGUUGGAAGAAGCCUAAGUUCUUCUCCAUUUGGAAGUCUUCACAGGGCUAUUUGCUUAUCAUUGGGCUUCUCUCAGUACAAGUGGUCUUAGAGAAAAGUGAAAGCCACAAUGUCCUUUAAUUAGAAAUCACAUGGGCUGGGAUGCAGCUCAGUGGCAAAGCAUCUGCCUUGGAUUCGCAAAGCCCUAGGUUCGACCCCCAGCUCCAAAAAAGAACCCCAC